rnacentral:sRNA from 1 species
CGGUUCGAUAAAUGGAAACGGUAAAAAACUGUGGAUAGAUGAAAAAAUUACAAAAAUUUUGUAGCAGUCUGAUUUGAUUUUUAAAGCUAAAUUUUGAGAUUAUGUGAGUUAAAUUCUAUUUAGUUUUAGGCAUUCGUUGUGGUAAUACUCUAGUUAAUAAAAUUAAAACCACGAGCUACCUUGCUUUUGCAGCAAAUGAAUAUCAUUUUAGACAUUCAUGCGGAAAUCAAUUGGCUGGAGGAAAAAUGUGUCGCAGAAUACGGAUAAUAACUCAUCUUUAAAAUUAACAAAUGUUUUAUAGAUAAUUUAUUUAUAAAUGUGAAUAAAAAGUGAAGUACACG